rnacentral:rRNA from 1 species
UACAGAGGGGGCAAGCGUUGUUCGGAAUUACUGGGCGUAAAGGGCGCGUAGGCGGCCUCCUAAGUCGAACGUGAAAUCCCUGGGCUCAACCCAGGAACUGCGUCCGAUACUGGAAGGCUUGAAUCCGGGAGAGGGAUGCGGAAUUCCAGGUGUAGCGGUGAAAUGCGUAGAUAUCUGGAGGAACACCGGUGGCGAAGGCGGCAUCCUGGACCGGCAUUGACGCUGAGGCGCGAAAGCCAGGGGAGCAAACGGG